CCCCGUGAAAGCUGCAGCUCUGAGAGUGUGUGGGCAGGGCUUCAACAGAAUACCUGUGGCUGCACUUACAAAAGGCAGCCAGAAGGACCCGUCCAUUCUGGAAAGUACCUUUAGUCUGAAAGGUACAAAUCAGAACUUUCACCACAUUCCAUCUGGCACUCACUGGUGGUGCCAACACCUCAAAAACCCUGCCGGGGCCAUUUGUCACCAUGUGGACACAGACAGACCACCAGUGAAAGUGGAAUUUUUGAAUGAGCUUGAAUGACCUGCCUAUAUGUGUAGACAGCCAUGGUCACUUUUUCUCCGUAGGAUUAGAUGUGCUGAUUCUAAUGUGGUUCACAUUAGGCUAUUUUCUUUUAAAAGUGAAAUUUCUUUUGGAAGCCUGG
rnacentral:lncRNA from 1 species